UUAGUCUUAACUGGUUGUUAGGAGUUGGGCGGUAUUCUUCUCGUUAUCCAGUCCUCUGGAUCUGAGUGGCCUGUUCCACUCUGUUUGACGCCUCCCUGUUAACUUCCUGAGCCGCCAGACUUUGGCGGCUCUUUUUUU
rnacentral:sRNA from 1 species